rnacentral:snoRNA from 1 species
AUUCGGGUUGAUAACUAGGCAGCGGGUUCGAACUUCUCCACAACCUCUGCCCUUUAAGUGCCCGAUAUAUUGACUACAUUUGGCGGGGAUCUUACAAGUUUCUGGACUGUUUCUUUUGCAUUGUGUUUAGUAACUUUUAAAUUCUCGCGACAUUA